rnacentral:tRNA from 1 species
AGUAGAAUGGCUGAGAUUAAAGGUGAAAGAUUGUAAAUCUUUUAAGGAGGUUAAAACUCUUCUACUA